ensembl:snoRNA Gm24771 predicted gene, 24771
CCUACCCCUAGAAACACAGCAGGUAUGGCUGCUGUGUCACAAGUUCGUCAGUAGGUGGCAGAGAGAAAGAGGGUGUGUCUAUGCUCAGUGUUCUAACCUGAAAACAGAAAGCCUGAUCAGUCCAACAGUCUGGUGCA